CUUGUACAGUAUUUAUUAGUGCAGAUGUCUGAUGAAAUACUACGCGUAUUGCAUUGUAGUAAUAUUUUAAUUUACAAUAUUCUGUACUGACAAAUAAAAGCAAGACAAACAAUUAAAUGAAACUACUAAAUUAAUUCGAGAAUUAAUUUAGGUCCUGUUUACUUAAUAGCUCUACGCCUAGGCCGAUGUAGACUACAAGAUUCGCACGCCACCCAGUUUUUCAGUUUCAAAAUACGCCGAAUACUUGAAAAUUGCGACUAUACGAUAAAAUAAAACAAAGAUUGUGAAGGGGAUAAAAUUUGUAGGCAAGCAUUUCUGCGGA